GCUAUGACACGUUCAGCAGGUUGUUUUUAGUAAAUGUGGUGCAGGGCAAAGCAGAGAUUUCUCGAAAUGAAUCCUGUCAGACUCGAAAACACUGGCAGCACGGGUUGAAUUGUGCGGAAUUUUUCCAGGAUCAACAAAAGAUGAUGUCUUCUUGGCAAAAUCACAGUCACAUGGUUGGUAAGUAAAUGAAAAUAUAAAGAAGGAAACUUCUGCAGGAAAACAUGUUCUUUAUUAAAACACAAUUAAACUCGUUAUUUAUUGAAACACACUGCAAAGUAGCACAAAAUGUUUCUUCUUCCAAAAUGUAUACAACACCAGUGAUUGAUUCAAUCAAGUACAUCUUCAAAUUUAAUUAAUGUAAACAUUCUGUUUGCCUUACAAAUUAAAGAUGCUGCAUC